UCAUCUUUUGAUGCUGGUUACAAUGGAAUAGUGAGCACUUUAUUUUUAACAGAUAUGCAAAGAUCUUGAAUCAAAUCUAGAUUGAUAUGUAGAAUCUAGAUACUGAUGCCUAUAUAUCUCUAAAGCUACAAGGUCAUUGGUCUAUACUAUUUUUUCUACUUAUAGAAGUUUUACACUUCUAUAAAAGCAAACAAUUAUAUAAAAAAGAAAACCCAUAAACCCAAAAGUGUUAUAAAUUGGGUUGAAAGAGAGUUUUAAUUAACUUGUCUAUUUUUUCAUCACCAAUAAAGCAAAGAUAAAUAAAAUAAAAAGGCAGCAAAGGCAUAUAUGAAUACAACAAAACCAAAGUGCUGCACAAACAGAACCAAACAAGAACCAACACUUUGCUCCUACUUACUACUAAACUAAACUCCUCUCUCUCUCUCUCUCUCUCUCUCUCCUCGACUUUCUUCCAUCGGGGUUCGCAAUUUGCUGCGCCACUCUCUUAGCUUCUUUGCACAUCGCUUCUUCUAAUCUUCGUUCCUGCUGCUCGCCGGAGCAUCUUGUGUCGUUUCCCAAAACCUAGUUGCACUCUUGUCGGUUGCAUCUCAGAUUGUGACACAACCGGUGCAGAUCAGGGCUCUUAUUGAGAAUAUCUAUACCUUCCAGAGUGCUCUAUCAACUCCAAGGUCGUAGCUCGAAGCAGUUUCAAUAAAAUAUCCCUCUCUUAAGGAUUAUUUCAAUGGAGAAUCACUCUUUGCCGCCAAGCACUAGCACCACGUCCCUUGUGUUUCCAUCUUUAGUGGCUGGAGGAGUCAAACCUGAAGCUGCUUUGGUCAUGGAUUGGUCAGUUGAGGAGCAGUAUGUAUUAGAGAACGGCCUUGCAAAGUUGAAAGAUGAACCCAAGAUCUCAAAGUAUGUAAAGAUCGCUGCAGCUCUACCAGAUAAAACUGUAAGGGAUGUAGCACUGAGGUGCAGAUGGAUGGCGAGAAAACGGAGAAAAAGAGAGGAAAACAGUGCUGGGAAGAACAUUAGCAAUAGAAAGGUGGUGGAUACAUCCCCAGAACUGAACAUGCUAGCCAAUUUGCCACAACAAAAUGCUUUAUAUGCCAACUACCACAGUACACACAUGCCUUUUGAAGAUAUAAGCGAUGCAGUAUUGGAUCUUGUACAGCAAAACGCUCAAGCUUUUAGUCAAAUUUCAUACAACCUCUCUGCAUUCAAGCUGCAGGAUAACAUCAGUCUCCUUUAUCAGGCAAGAAAUAACAUCAGCGCCAUUCUCAAUGACAUGAAGGAGAUGCCUGGUAUCAUGAGUCGGAUGCCGCCUCUACCUGUUUCAAUUAACGAUGAUCUUGCAAGCCGUUUAUUGCCGAGUACAACACAGCCAAUAUCGUACACCAUGCAACCAAACAUCCACAUGAAGCAAGAGCCGAGAAGUUGAUUGAGGAAAAAUGGAUUUUGACCAAUGCUAUAAAGAAAAUAGCACAAGUACUUGGUUAAGUGGCAAUGUUUCCGUGAUGAUCGACAUGACAUAGACACACAAGGGUUUAUCAACUGCAGACACUGCUCCAGAACAAAGACGAGAUCUGACACUCGGCACUGGUAGAACAGUUGAGCUCUCGGGUAGUUUGACUGAGAAGACUGAACUACAAGCAAAGAGGCAUCACGUAUGAUGAACUUGUGUUCUCACACGGCAUAUCCAUCUCUCUGCCAACCUUUGGUGAAGCGCAUCACGAAUCCAAGCCGAGCCACACACCGAACCAUCCAAGCCUUGGAGUCUAAGACCAAGCUGGCUCUAGCUGAUGCGGCUUGUGAAGGAUGUAGAUUGAUCGUUUUGAGCUAGUCAGAUUAACCUAGUCUAGUACACAAGGGAUUUAACGAGUUCCUGGCCUCGACCAGUGUUCAAGCACAACCUCAAGAUAGAGCUGCAGCCAACAACAACAAGAAAUAAAACGUAAGAGAACCCUAGGAGCUACAACAUGUAUUUAUAUGACUUGCUCCUUCGACUUGUUCUCUACGUUUGCGAGUGGGCCUUUAUGCACCGAAGCCCAUCACUCUAUUCUGUUGCUUGUGAUCUGUUGCUUGUAGCAGGCUGGAUAGUAUGGGUUUGGGCCGAGUCACUUAGCUCACAAUCUCCACUUUGACUCACCAAACCCUGACGGGAAAGACGCCAUGGCAGCUCCUUUCUCUAUCGCAAUCUUCAAACAGCCUCCGACACCUUCGUUCCUCGGCUUUUGUCGAUCGUUCCUAUCCAGAUCAACCGGAGAACCAGCUUCGUUCCCCUGAUCAAUUACCGUCGAUCUCCCUCCUUCUUCUAUGUGCUCUAGUGAAGCUCCGAACAUCCGCCUCCAAUGGCGUGUGCUCAUCUUUUCAUCAAUUAACUUUUCGUUUAGCCACUCCGUAUAGAAUCUGCUUCCAAUCACAGAUCCAAAAUUGAGUCCAAACAUCAAGAAGUAGCUUCUCGUCUCUUCUAUACGACCGCUCAACUCAAGUCGUAAAAUCUCCAGAGCUUUGUUCAAUGGUGUCUUCUUCAGUCGAGUCUGAGAAACAACCCGGUCCUUGAACCAUAUCUGUCUACAACUCCAAUUGAUUCGUAAUUCAUCAAGAGAACCUCUCAGCCAAGUCAAUCUCCAGUGACUAAGCUCCAAGCUUCUGAUAAUCCGACAGGUAACAAUUCAAGGACCUUCAGAACUCAGAACGUGCGAUCCGGACUUCCUUACUUCUCGCAAAAAGAUAAGUAUCAAACUUGCAUUCUCUCCUUCUGACUUGUCUAGUAACUGGAACUUUAUCAAACCCUGUUUGUAGACUUCUGAUAUGCUCUUAACCAGCGCUCUGAUACCACUUGUGAAGGAUAUAGAUUGAUCGUUUUGAGCUAGUCAGAUUAACCUAGUCUAGUACACAAGGGAUUUAACGAGUUCCUGGCCUCGACCAGUACGUGUGGGAUCUCUUGCCCACAAACUUCACUAGAAUCAAACAGGAGUUUACAAACACUAAUAGAUCUCUCUCUGCUAUGUCUCAAUCUCAUGUGUUCAAGCACAACCUCAAGAUAGAGCUGCAGCCAACAACAAGAAGAAAUAAAACGUAAGAGAAUCCUAGGAGCUACAACAUGUAUUUAUAUGACUUACUCCUUCGACUUGUUCUCUACGUUUGCGAGUGGGCCUUUGUGCACCGAAGCCCAUCACUCUAUUCUGUUGUUUUUGAUCUGUUGCUUGUAGCGGGCUGGAUAGUAUGGGUUUGGGCCGAGUCACUUAGCUCACACGGCUAGGUUCAAAAACGGUAACCAAGCGAUCGCUACGUGUUACGCGACGCUUAGUGACGUUAUAAUCUAGCUAGCGCGAGGAAAAGCAUAAGGAAACGUGACGUAAUGGCGUUGAAUAUGUUUUUAACUGCGGCUGUGUCUGAUUAUGGUGCAUGUGUCGAAGGGUUUAUUAUGCGAACCAAGUUAAUACGGUUCAGAAUGUAGCGGUUGAUUUGAGAAAAAUUAGUAGUAAUUGCUUGACGUUGCCUACUUUGAUUUAGAUGAUUGAAUUACAAAUUACAUUUAUUCAUUUUUUCUCAAAACAAUAGAAAAAAAAAACUAAUCGUUCAAUUGAUGUGA